AUUACCAAUUUAGCCCACCUUUCAUUUUCCCCUUACCCAAGUUGACACUCCCAUCUUUCGUCUUCUUACUCUUCUCCGGUUUUCCAUUUUCCAUCUUUCGUCCAUACAUACGCAACUCCAUGUCUAAAUCUUUCUCUCUCACCAUUCUUCUCCUUUAUCAUUCCAUUUGAGCAAUUCCGCUGUCUGAGAUCAUUAGUUUUUGGAGUAACUCUAAAUUUUGUGAGUCCUCUGUGGCUUGUGGUGGCAGCCACCCUUUCUUCGCCUUCCCCUUCUCUCGGUAGCUUUUUCUACGAGGAAGAGGAAUCGAAAGAUUCAAGCAAUCAUGGGCAUCAACGGAUUAGAGCUUAUGAUUCCACCAUUCUUUGCGGGUACAGGAGUAAGAGUAGCAAAUGAGCUGGGAGGCGGCAAUGGAAAAGGAGCCAAGUUUGCAGCCAUUGUGUCAUCAACAACAUCAUUAGUAAUUGGCAUUCUCUUUUGUUGUUUAAUUGUAAUAUCUAACGACAAAUUUGGUCUUCUUUUUUCCUCUACCGACAUUGUUAUUCAAGAAGUCAAUAAACUUAGUAUCCUCUUGGCCUUCACUAUCCUCUUCAACAAUGUCCAGCCAGUCCUCUCCGGUAUGACAAUUUUACUAUAAUGUACUAAUUUGUAUUUCAAAAUUAACUAUCUUUUCAUAAAUAUUUAAUUUGCUGUGAUCUAAAUAUAUAGGAGCGGCGGUUGGAACAGGUUGGCAGUCUUAUUUAACUUGUAUAAAUUUGGGUUGCUAUUAUUUCAUUGGUUUGCCUCUUGGCAUUUUCUGAGACUGAGACUAAUUAGUUUUAGCAAUUCACCAUUUGAGAUGCAAAAUUUCACUCUCAUUCCUCACUGUUCUUUUUCAUUCCAUAGCAUAUCAAUCAAUACAAUGGAUGAAGCAAGUAUUCUUUUUAUAUGCACUGCCAGUAUUCUUUUUCAUCUCAAAAGAGUGACUUAGUAAAGAGUUAUUUUAAACAUUAUCGCUUAACUUAACUUCCAAAGUUUUCUUUUCUACUUAAAGUUCUAUUAAGAUCCUUUCUAGCUCUUUCUCAACGUCUUGGAUUAGUUUAUAAUCCACGAGAAUUCCCUCUUUGUAGUUUGAGACUGAUUAAAAGUGUUUGAAUUGAGUUUUAAGGCUAUUUUUGCAGGCACGACCAUACUCGACCAAGAUUUGUUCUAUAAGUUUAGGGUACUAAGGCUAAUGCUAUUUUGAAGGAUUCUGAAAGUGAGAACAAAAAGAAUGCUCGUGAUUAUUCUGACUAGGUGUGAAAAUGAUUCCCUCCCAAGUAUUAGUUGGGUCUUGGAUCUUGCAAAAGCAGCAGUUUUAAGGCAUGGAGUUUGAUUGGUAAUUGACCCUUAUAGUGAGCUUGACCAUCAACGGCUUCCAAAUCAGUUUUGUUGAUGGUUUGGAGAUGGGAAAUAACACAAAGGUACAAAAUUAGUUCUAAAUAAAUUUAAAAGGUAACUUACAUAGUUACAACAAGGUUGGUUAGGAACCCAAAAGCUUUGAUGUUGGAUGAGAUUAUCAACUAUGUGCAGUCAUUACAACACCAAGUUGAGGUAAUUAUAUUUUAGAAUAAAAUUAGGAAAAAAAAUGUGGUCCACAUUGCCGUUUCAAAUUAUAUUUUGGCCUUUUAAGACAUGGCUAGAAAAAUAGAUCGCCAACCUGACAUAAAACUUAGACGUGAGAAGUAGAUAACAAAGUAAGAAAUUCAUUGCUGGGAAAUGGUGUUUAUAGGCUUAAUUUUCAAAAUCUAAAAAUACACAAAUCAUUAAAGGACCUUUGGUUUUACUAUUUUUUUCCUUGGAACAAAAAUGCACUACCUAUAUGCAGCUAUGCGAAUAUUGGCGUGUUUAAAAUGUAGUGGCAUGCACAGAAGCCUUGGAACACAUAUAUCAAAGGUAAUGCUCACCUUUCCGAAGAUGAAGAUUAUGGUUUGCAUUUCUUUAAAUGUGUCACCGGAAUAAAAGUUAUUUUUUUAUUUAAUUUUCUAGUUAUGCUAAAGCUAAGGUUGGUCAAUGAUGUUGUUUGAAUAUUCCUAAAGAAAGAGAACGCUAGAAGGUUUUACUUCCUUUCUCGUAUUAGAAAACUAUGCUUGAACUUAGAGCAACCUUUUUGAUUAUGUGCUGUGAGGGCUAAAUAAAAGUUGUAGUUCUAAGGACAUUGUUGGUUUUGGUUUAGGUUUUGUCAAUAACAUUGGAUGAAUGGUCUGACGAUGAGAUUGAUGCAAUGAAUGAUAGAUUUUUUCCAUAAUUAUCUUAAGCUUUAUAUUUUUAAUAUAGCUUCGUUUUUACUCUGGUCAUAUAUUCUAGUUUGGUAUUCGAUUGAAUUGAAGAAUUGGUAUUGAUUUUUUGUUCUUUAGAUAGUUUAGUUUUGAUCUAAUAUUGAGUGGUUAAAUUCAAAUAGAAAGUGUAUAAUUCAAAAAUACUAUACGUGUGGCAUAGAACACUAGCAUACAGCAAAUUCACUAUUAUUUUUAAUAGUGUUAUUGACUUAUCAACGUACUGGCAAUUAAUGUGAAACCUUUGAGUUUCUUGUUGUUUAGGAUACUAGUCGAGUCAUCCAUGGAUUGGAUUGUCGGUUGCUUGUUCUGAAUCCUGGCUUGACGUUAUGAUUUUGUUUUUGUUUAUCAUUUAUAUGCGGCUUGAUAGUGAAAACUAAUGGAAUCCUUGGCUUGAUGGUGAAAACUAAUGGAAUCCUUGACUCACGGAUGUAGUUGAAAUCUCUCCUAUAGACAUGUUUUGCUUGAUUGUAGUUGAAAUCUCCUAUGAACAAGAGUCCCCAAGGGGAUUCAUUACUCAACACCCUAUGAACAAUAUAUUAUUUAUAGAUAAAACACCCAUAACAACAAAAUUAUUCACAAUCUUAAUCGAACUUAUGAAAUUCUAUCUAACAUAAUAAAUGUAUAAAACUGUGAUUCUCAGAAAGGAGGUGGAGAUUCCAGACAAUUACCCAAAAUUUCCAACUUAGAGGAGAGUUUGGGUGGAAGAUUUACUGAGAUUAACGGGCGAAAGGUUGAAGAAAAUGUUGGAGGAGAUGGAAGAAGAGGAAUUCUGCAUCAUUACAAAAUGUAUAAUAUUAAAUUAAUAAAAAUUGUCAACUCACCGUUUAAUAUCCACAUCAUUUUACUGUUAGUUAAGUAACCUUAAGGAUCAUUCGUUUUCGAGGACUCAAGUGUUCGUUUUGAAA